UACAGAGGGGGCAAGCGUUGUUCGGAAUUACUGGGCGUAAAGGGCGCGUAGGCGCCUGUUAAGUCGAACGUGAAAUCCCCGGGCUCAACCCGGGAACUGCGUCCGCAUACUGGCAGGCUUGAAUUCGGGAGAGGGAUGUGGAAUUCCAGGUGUAGCGGUGAAAUGCGUAGAUAUCAGGAGGAACACCUGUGGCGAAAGCGGCGUCACUGGACCAUA
rnacentral:rRNA from 1 species